CUACGGGUUGCUGCAGUGAGGAAUAUUGCACAAUGGGGGGAACCCUGAUGCAGCAACGCCGCGUGGAGGAUGACGCAUUGCGGUGUGUAAACUCCUUUUAUAUGUCAAGAAAAUGACGGUAGCAUAUGAAUAAGCACCGGCUAACGUCCGUGCCAGCAGCCGCGGUAAUACGGAGGGUGCAAGCGUUACUCGGAAUCACUGGGCGUAAAGGACGCGUAGGUGGGUUGGAAAGUCAGGUGUGAAAUCCUACAGCUUAACUGUAGAACUGCACUUGAAACUUCUAAUCUAGAGUAUGGGAGGGGGAGAUGGAAUUAGUGGUGUAGGGGUAAAAUCCGUAGAUAUCACUAGGAAUACCUAAAGCGAAGGCGAUCUCCUGGAACAUCACUGACGCUAAGGCGUGAAAGCGUGGGGAGCAAACAGGAUUAGAUACCCGCGUAGUC
rnacentral:rRNA from 1 species